CCUCCCGGCGCCGGUGAAAACCCUAGCCUCCUCGCCCCCUCGCCCGAAAAGAGAAAAGCAGCGGCACUGGCGCAUGCCUCCUCCCCGGUGUGCGCACUUGCCCGAGGGUGAGUGCGCCGCCAUCAAGCGGCCUUGCCCCGGCGCCCCUCCCUGUCGUCUUCCGCGCAGUGCCCCUCCCCAUCGUCUUCCGCGCGGCGCCCUCCCCUCCGCUGCGGCCCAGCGGCGGUGGCACCCUCCCCUCCGCCGAAUCUAGUGGGAGGGGAGGCGGCGGCGGCCCGGCGGCCUAGACCCGGCAUCCCGGAUCUAGCAGGAGGGGAGGGGACGUGAGGCGAUAACGGCCCAGCCUCCCCUCAAUCGGAUCCAGCAGGAGGGGAGCCGCGGCGAACCAGCGUCCCUUCGACGGCGGCGGCGGUUCGGCGGCGACAGCGGCACCCUCUCCUUCCGGAGGGCGAGCGAAAAUCACCGCACGGACGAGGUGACGAAAGAAAAAAUACGAAUCUCUUAAUUAGUUAAGAUAUGCAACAUAUGCUUAUAUUUUAGAACAAAAAUUGUAUAUGAGAAAUUUGGACAUGUAUGUACCAUCCGAUUUUGUAAUUUCGUAUGCACCAUAAUUCAGGAUAGAAAUUGGAUGGCAAUAGUUAAUACCCGUUAAGGGCUUCUUUGGAAUAUGGGAUUCAGAAAAACAAGAAUAGUAAAAAUGCGGGAAUAAUGCCUCGUUGAAUCCUAAAGGAAUUUUAACCA